rnacentral:rRNA from 1 species
CCUUUUGCAUCAUGAUUUAGCCAGCACCCUCAAGCAAAGAGACCUUUAGUUUGAAACCCCGAAACCAGGUGAGCUACCCCGAGACAGCCUAUAUUAUUUAGGGCUAACCCGUCUCUGUGGCAAAAGAGUGGGAAGAGCUCCGGGUAGAAGUGACAGACCUACCGAACCUGGUGAUAGCUGGUUGCCUGAGAAAUGGAUAGAAGUUCAGCCUCGUAUAUCCCCAAACCAAAGAAUAUACCACUAAGGUACUUAUGGGUAAUACACGAAAGUUAGUUAAAGGGGGUACAGCCCCUUUAACAAAGGAUACAACCUUUACAGGAGGAUAAAGAUCAUAAUAUAUAAAACAUGCUGUUCUAGUGGGCCUAAAGGCAGCCACCUAAACAGAAAGCGUUAAAGCUCAGACAGAAAGAAGUUUAUUAUACCGAUAAAAAAUCUUACUCCCCUAAUUAUAUCAGGCCAACCCAUGCCAA